rnacentral:rRNA from 1 species
AACGUAGGAUCCGAGCGUUAUCCGAAUUCACUGGGCGUAAAGCGCGUGCAGGCGGCCGAGUAAGUUGGAUGUGAAAUCUCCUGGCUCAACUGGGAGGGGACGUUCAAGACUGUUCGGCUGGAGGACGGUAGAGGAAGGUGGAAUUCCCGGUGUAGUGGUGAAAUGCGUAGAUAUCGGGAGGAACACCAGUGGCGAAGGCGGCCUUCUGGACCGUUCCUGACGCUCAGACGCGAAAGCUAGGGGAGCGAACGGGAUUAGAAACCCCCGUAGUCC